GAAUCUCGGGCGACCCACGACGGGGCGACCCAUCUCACUCUCAAUCUCUCACACCUCGCCCUCGCCGUCAGUCCUUCAUCUCGCCGUGAGCUUCUUCUUGCCGUUUCGAGUCUCGACUGCAAAAGACGGAAGCUCUCUACUCCAAACUCUACGAAAAGUACACAAAAAUCAAGGUG